rnacentral:rRNA from 1 species
GCAACGCGAAGAACCUUACCAGGGCUUGACAUCCAACUAACGAAGCAGAGAUGCAUUAGGUGCCUUCGGGAAAGUUGAGACAGGUGGUGCAUGGUUGUCGUCAGCUCGUGUCGUGAGAUGUUGGGUUAAGUCCCGCAACGAGCGCAACCCUUAUUGUUAGUUGCUACGAAAGAGCACUCUAGCGAGACUGCCGUUGACAAAACGGAGGAAGGUGGGAUGACGUCAAAUCAUCAUGCCCCUUAUGUUCUGGGCUACACACGUGCUACAAUGGCCGGUACAGACGGACGCAAAGCCGCGAGGUGGAGCAAAUCCUAAAAAGCCGGUCUCAGUUCGGAUUGCAGGCUGCAAUUCGCCUGCAUGAAGUCGGAAUCGCUAGUAAUCGCAGGUCAGCAUACUGCGGUGAAUACGUUCCCGGGCCUU